UGUCUUUUAAAUGAAGACCUGUAUGAAUGGCAUAACGAGGGCUUAACUGUCUCCUCCCCCCAGUCAAUGAAAUUGAUCUCCCCGUGCAGAAGCGGGGAUAACAACAUAAGACGAGAAGACCCUGUGGAGCUUUAAAUCACGAACAGACCAUGUCAAGAAUAACAAACAAGAGCAUUAAACAAAUUGGCCACUGUUUAUGUAUUUUUGGUUGGGGCGACCGCGGGGUAAUAAAUAACCCCCAUGUGGACUAAGAAAACAUUCUUAAAACUAAGAGCCCCCGCUCUAAGUAACAGAACUUCUGACCUUAAUGAUCCGGCCUGGCCGAUCAACGAACCCAGUUACCCCAGGGAUAACAGCGCAAUCCUCUUCUAGAGCCCAUAUCGACAAGAGGGUUUACGACCUCGAUGUUGGAUCAGGACAUCCUAAUGGUGUAGCCGCUAUUAAGGGUUUGUUUGUUCAACAAUUAAAGU
rnacentral:rRNA from 1 species